rnacentral:rRNA from 1 species
AUUGAACGCUGGCGGCAUGCCUAACACAUGCAAGUCGAACGGAAACGAUGGGAGCUUGCUCCCAGGCGUCGAGUGGCGGACGGGUGAGUAAUACUUAGGAAUCUGCCCAGUAGUGGGGGACGAACUCGGGGAAACUCGAGCUAAUACCGCAUACGCCCUACGGGGGAAAGCGGGGGAUCUUCGGACCUCGCGCUAUUGGAUGAGCCUAAGUCGGAUUAGCUUGUUGGUAGGGUAACGGCCUACCAAGGCGACGAUCCGUAGCUGGUCUGAGAGGACGAUCAGCCACACUGGGACUGAGACACGGCCCAGACUCCUACGGGAGGCAGCAGUGGGGAAUAUUGGACAAUGGGCGCAAGCCUGAUCCAGCAAUGCCGCGUGUGUGAAGAAGGCCUGCGGGUUGUAAAGCACUUUCAGUAGUGAAGAAAAGCCUAGGGUUAAUACCCCUGAGUCUUGACGUUAACUACAGAAGAAGCACCGGCUAACUCCGUG